rnacentral:lncRNA from 1 species
AUUUUCCUCCCUUCUUCAACGCCGAUUCUCUUCAGUCUUCACUGUGGGUAGACCCAAAACGGGUGCUCGAUCAGGAUUUGACUGUUUCACAAUAUCUUGUUGCGGACAUUGACAAUAAUAGAUUCGUGAGGUAAAAGUUGUCUUUUCCUCUUGAAAUUAUUGCUAUUUGUCUUAAACUAACUUCAUGAGUUUUUACUCUAUUUGUUGAUACUUGCCAUAGUCAAACUCAAGGAAUCUGUAGAUGAGAUAUAUGCUUGGAUUUUACAUUUGAAUGUAGUGUCAUAUGAUUUUGCCCUUUAGACUUUGGUUGUUUGUGUCUGUAGGAAACUGAGUUUUGACGCAAACAAAUUAGUCAAAACUCAAACCUACAGUUCGCCUAGAAUAUUAAUUUGUGGAUGGGAUCGUUCGUUCGAUCAAUUUGGUAGAAAACACAAAUACCUGUCAGAUUGUGGAUCUCUUGAAAUUAUUAUGUAGGAAAGCUGAGUUGUCUUUUAUUCCCCUUAAUUUUAUAGGCGAAAGAGUAUUUUGUAGGGAGCAAAAUACGUAUUUUCCUUUAUUAUAUCCAUAACCAUGGCUAUUGUUGUCAUCAUAAUUGCCAUUCUGCUAAUGAAAGGGCUGUUUAUCUCUCUUCGUAACAAAAGUAUAGGAUAAUUCAUCGGAUAUACUGAACUUCAGAGGAAGAGAGUAACCACCCUUAGAAAAUCUCAACCUUUUUCCGAGUUCCAUAAAAAGCCCCAUCGCCUAGCCAUGUAAUUGCUUAUGCUUUUUAAGUUUUUUUUUAUCAUGUAAACAUGGUCAAUUAAUGACUAGUUAUCUUCAGUGUUAUUCAGGUUCAAAACAGAAGCAAAAAAUGUUUAACAUUGAAAGCAAGAAGUGUUUAAGAUUGAACCAAGAGGUGUGCUACUAUGAAGGUUGGGCUUGUCUUUUAAGUACAUAUACAAGUAUAAGCAAAGUUGCCAACUAGUUUAAGACUGCAAGUUACAUUCUUCAUUCAAUUCACAUGAUUGAAAAUGAUAAUAAUGAUAAAGUAGCCGAUGAAAGUAAUGAUUCGGAGUGUACGGUUAUAACUACUCCCUCGACAGUUUCAAAACAAUGGAGAAAACGAUCUCGGGCAUGAGAUUUUUUUGAAGAAAAGUUGAUGCUAAAGGAAAUAAUAAAUAUGCAUGUAGAUUUAUGGACAAGAAUAUUUUGAGACAAAAGGUAAAAGUACGACAUAAAUGAAUGGUCAUAUCGAUAACUGUCCAAAGAAUCCUUAUAAAGUUGAAAAAGGUCAAAAAAUCUUACAAUUUCAAACAUUACCGAGGGUAAUAAAGGUGGUCUUAUUCCAUGGAAAUUUGAUCAAAAAGAGUGUAGGAUGGAUUUGUGUCGUAUGGUGAUUGUUGAUGAACUUUCGUUUAGUUUUGUUGAGAAGGAAGGCUUUAGAAACUUUAUGAAAGUGGCACAACCUUGUUUUUAUAUUCCUUCCCGUGCUACUGUUAAACGGGAUUGUUUUGCUCUUUUUAAUGUGGAAAAAAAUAAAUUAAUGAAGUUUCUUAAAGGAACNNNNNNNNNNNNNNNNNNNNNNNNNNNNNNNNNNNNNNNNNNNNNNNNNNNNNNNNNNNNNNNNNNNACAAGUCAAAGAGUAUGUAUUACUACUGAUACAUGGACUUUUAUUCAAAAAAUUAACUAUAUGUGCAUCACAGCCUAUUGGAUUGAUAGUGAAUGGAUUAUGCAUAAAAGAAUUAUUAACUUUUCUCCAAUUAUAAGUCAUAAAGGUAAAGAUACGACAAUGUGUAUUAUUGAUUAUUUGCGUGAGUGGGGAUUGCAAAAGAUUUUCACUAUCACAGUUGAUAAUGCUAGUUCAAAUGAUGUGACCGUGGAGAAGUUGUCUGACAAAUUAAAUGAAUGGGGAACCAAUUCCAUGAAUGGUCAACACCUUCACAUGAGAUGCAUGGCUCAUAUUAUAAAUCUUAUUGUGAAUGAUGGUUUAAAAGAGUCAAGUAUUUAUAUUGCUCGUGUUAGAUGUGCAGUCAGAUACAUUAGACAGUCUCCUACUAGGUUGAGAAUGUUUCAGGAAUGUUGUGAAAGUAAAAAUAUUGUCAAGAAGUCUUUAUGCUUAGAUGUUCCUACAAGGUGGAAUUCCACCGACUUGAUGUUGAGCAUGGCUAUUGAAUAUGAACGUGCAAUGAAAGAAUAUUCUGAUCGUGAUAUCGGCUUGUCAAGUUAUCUUAUGUUUGAUGCUAUUUCAGAUGGAAUGCAUGUAGGUCUGCUUACAAGAACUGAUUGGGAUGAUGUAAAGAAAAUUGCACAAUUUCUUGAAAUAUUUUAUAAUCUCACUUUGAAGGAGUCCGGAUCACUUUAUGUAACAUCAAAUGCCCAUUUUCUUGAAAUUGGUCAAGUUGUUGUUUACUUAAAUCGAUUAAUAACAACUGAAGAUAAACUUUUGAGUGAGAUGGCAUCAAGUAUGUGGAAAAAAUUUGAGAAAUAUCAGGAUGAACCAUCAAAAUGAACAAAAUAAUUUUCAUUGCUUGUGUUUUGGAUCCUCGCUACAAGUUUACUACUGUUAGUUUUGUAGUUAAGAAGAUGUUUGGAGAUGAAGGGACAAUUCUUGAAAAAGAGGUUCAUACUUAUAUGACUUCAGUUUUUAAUGAGUAUGUCUCUAAGUCGAUUUCAAAAAGAUAAUGGUGGUGAAGUUUCUACCUCUUUGCCAAGCUCUUCAACUCCUAGUUUAGGUGAACUAUUAGAUGAAAUAAGGAAACAUAAAGCUGCAAGUAUAGGUGUAGGUUCUAAAACAUAAUUGGAAAAGUAUCUUGCAGAAAUUCCUGAAAAUGAAAGAUCGGACUUUGAUAUCUUGGUUUGGUGGAAGGUGAACUCACCUAGAUUUCCUAUUCUUGCUAAGAUGGCUCGAGAUGUGCUUGCUAUUCCUAUUUGAAGUGUGGUAUCUGAAAGUGCAUUUAGUACUGGAGAGCAUAUUCUUGACCAAUUUAGGAGUUCAUUAACUCCUAAAUUGGUUGAAACUCUAGUGUACCUUUAAGAUUGGCUUCGGAGUGAAUCGCUUCCUGUAAAUGUUGAGGAAGAUUUAGAUUUUUUUGAGACACUCAAGGAAGGUAUAUAUCGUUUAAUUAAUUUUAUUGUAUUUCUUAAGAUAGUUAAAUAAUAUAUUAAUUGCUUGACUUGUUAAUAUAUUUUCUUAUUAGAUUUUACUAAUCUUGGCAAAGAAGCUUCCAUAUUGUAUUUCUUAAGAUAGUUAAAUAAUAUAUUAAUUGCUUGACUUGUUAAUAUAUUUUCUUAUUUGAUUUUACUAAUCUUGGCAAACAAGCUUCCACCGACGAUGUUUGCUAGAGUUUAUUAGUUGCCAUGUAAGUUCUCCAUUUUAAAUAAUAUACUUGUAAAAGAAUGUGAUGUAUUACAAAAUUCUUACUAUUUUUCUUAAUUUCUUCCAGGUUUAAAGGUUAAGACUUUCAAGAUUUGGAGAGAAUGAGGCAUUUUAAGAGUUGACUCAACUACCUAUGGAACUAUGCUUUGGAAAUACUGUUUGUUUUGUCAAACUAGUAUUCUUUUUGUGACCUCUGGAACUAUGUAUGUUUGUUUAGAUGGUUAUUGAAUUAAUAUUUACAUAAUCAUGC